AGUGAACGCUGGCGGCAGGCCUAACACAUGCAAGUCGAACGGCAGCACAGUAAGAGCUUGCUCUUACGGGUGGCGAGUGGCGGACGGGUGAGGAAUACAUCGGAAUCUACUUUUUCGUGGGGGAUAACGUAGGGAAACUUACGCUAAUACCGCAUACGACCUACGGGUGAAAGCAGGGGAUCUUCGGACCUUGCGCGAUUGAAUGAGCCGAUGUCGGAUUAGCUAGUUGGCGGGGUAAAGGCCCACCAAGGCGACGAUCCGUAGCUGGUCUGAGAGGAUGAUCAGCCACACUGGAACUGAGACACGGUCCAGACUCCUACGGGAGGCAGCAGUGGGGAAUAUUGGGCAAUGGGCGCAAGCCUGAUCCAGCCAUACCGCGUGGGUGAAGAAGGCCUUCGGGUUGUAAAGCCCUUUUGUUGGGAAAGAAAAGCAGCAGGUUAAUACCCCGCUGUUCUGACGGUACCCAAAGGAUAAGCACCGGCUAACUUCGUG
rnacentral:rRNA from 1 species